AACUUUUAGCAAUGGAUCUCUUGGUUCUGGCAUCGAUGAAGAACGCAGCGAAAUGCGAUCCGUAACGUGAAUUGCAGAAUCCAGUGAAACAUCGAAUCUUUGAACGCACAUUGCGCCCGCCAGUAUUCUGUCGGGCAUGCCUGUUCGAGCGUCAUUUCAACCCUCAGACCCCUCCGGGCGGCUUGGUCUUGGGGACCAGCGGAAAGGGGCGGGGGGACAUCUCCUUCUGGAGAGCGUCCAACUCGCCUUGGCCCGCUGCCCCCUAAAUGAAUUGGCGGUCUCGUCGCGACCUCCUCUGCGUAGUAGCACAACCUCGCAACAGGAGCGCGGCGCGGCCAACGCCGUAAAACGCCCCAACUUUUUCUCAAGAGUUGACCUCGAAUCAGGUAGGAAUACCCGCUGAACUUAAGCAUAUCAAUAAGCGGAGGCU
rnacentral:misc_RNA from 1 species